rnacentral:rRNA from 1 species
CCUACGGGUGGCAGCAGUGGGGAAUAUUGCGCAAUGGGGGAAACCCUGACGCAGCGACGCCGCGUGAGCGAUGAAGGCCUUAGGGUUGUAAAGCUCUGUUUUAGGGGACGAAUGUCUAGACGAGUAAUAUGCGUUUAGAAUGACGGUACCCUAAGAGGAAGCCCCGGCUAACUACGUGCCAGCAGCCGCGGUAAGACGUAGGGGGCGAGCGUUGUCCGGAAUUACUGGGCGUAAAGAGCACGUAGGCGGGACUUUAAGUCAGGUGUGAAAGACCGGGGCUCAACUCCGGGGUUGCACUUGAAACUGGAGUUCUUGAGGGCAGGAGAGGAAAGCAGAAUUCCUGGUGUAGCGGUGAAAUGCGUAGAAAUCAGGAGGAAUACCAGUGGCGAAGGCGGCUUUCUGGACUGACCCUGACGCUGAGGUGCGAAAGCGUGGGUAGCAAACAGGAUUAGAUACCCGGGUAGUC